rnacentral:lncRNA from 1 species
UUUUUUUUCGCUGUUAGUUCUUGUCUGGAAUAUCUUCGAUUUUUUCUGUAUGUUGUCUUAGUGUUUUUUUACUGUUGUCAUCAAAUUUUUCGGUUGUUUCUGUAUUGUUUUCAGUUUUUUAUUGUUUUGUCAGCCAUUUUUUUCGGUUGUUUCAAUUUCCCUUUUCCAUCGUUUCUUUGUGCUUGCGCUCAGAAUCCAGUGAAUUUAGGCUUUCGCGUCACUCAUUUUUUUCUCCCAAUUACUACUACGUGGUUUGAUUGUAUUGGUUGAAAAAUGGAGUGAAACUAAAAUAAAAAUCACUCGAUUGCUACCUAUCAUUCCCGUUCGUCUCUUCGUCUUUCCCGAUCGCUCGACUAGGGCGGCAGGGCGCCGGCGCACCGUGACUGCCGUCGAGUGCAGGCUGCAGACUGCGGACUCCGGACUCCGGAGUGCGCCGAGUGCCGGCUGGGAUUGGUGGCGAGGCACCUUCCGUGUUGUCGCCUCCUUGAA